UACGAAGGGUGCAAGCGUUACUCGGAAUUACUGGGCGUAAAGCGUGCGUAGGUGGUUCGUUAAGUCUGUCGUGAAAGCCCCGGGCUCAACCUGGGAAUGGCGAUGGAUACUGGCGGGCUAGAGUGCGGUAGAGGGUGGUGGAAUUCCCGGUGUAGCAGUGAAAUGCGUAGAGAUCGGGAGGAACAUCAGUUGCGAAGGCGGCCACCUGGACCAGCACUGACACUGAGGCACGGAAAGCGUGGGGAGCAAACAGG
rnacentral:rRNA from 1 species